UUCUCUCCUGUUUUGCUGCAUCCUCUGACUGCUUUUGGUAUUAGUAUUUGAAGAUGCCUAUUUUGCCAAUAUAUGAUAUUGUGGGGUUGAUUGCUUUAGGGCUGGUGGUGUUAUCUGCUAUUAGCUUGGUUUCUAGUGUUUGGCUAGUAGAGGUGUGGCUGGAGAAUCCAAUGCUCUCGAGGAAACUUGCCUUUUCCUGCUUUCGGGUUUUUGGUGCAACGGAGAAGCCUUGUGAGCUCGUUUUAGGCCAAGAAGAGAUGGUGGAAGGGCUGUUUUUUUUUUUUUUUUUUUGGAAUUGAAAAUCAGCUUAUAAUAAAAGUGGGGC